GAAUAAAAUUAGUCCUGUCAGGCUUCUGAGUAGAGGUUGGCUUUACCGCAGUGACGUACUCACGCUCCCUUGCAGAAAUGUUGAGGAAAACAUUGUUUGGAUUUGCAGUUAUCGUGUGGAUCACAUCAGAAGUUUCUUGCGAUUCUUUUGUCAUCACUGUUGACCUUGGAAAACCACUCGGACCUCUGAACCACUUCUGGAGAAGCACUGGCUUUUGUCCUCCUCUUCCUCACACUGAGGCGUCCCAUUUUGACCUGAGUGUCGACCAGCAGCAAAACUUGGCUUAUGUGGGCUCGGUCCCCCAUGGAGGGAUCCAGCAGGUCCGAAUCCAUUGGAUGUUGGAGCUGGUCACUGUCCAAGAUGUUGGAGGACAACCGCAGUACAACUUUACAAAACUGGACCAGCUAAUGAAUCUCUUAUGGAUUAAUGGGCUGCAACCUGGAUUUGAACUGAUGGGCAGCGUCUCAAACUACUUCACCAACUUUGAGGAGAAAUCCCAAGUUUUCAAAUGGAGAAAUUUGGUUCAUCUGAUAGCUAAGAAGUACAUUGAAAAAUACGGUCUUGGAAAUGUUUCUCAGUGGAACUUUGAAACAUGGAACGAGCCCAACAACCAUGACUUUGAUAACGUUAGCAUGUCAAUUCAAGGGUUUCUUAAUUAUUACGAUGCCUGUUCGGAGGGUCUGCGGGCUGCCAGCGACUUGCUUCGGUUUGGUGGUCCGGGAGACUCCUGUCACUCACCCCCACACUCUCCUUACUGCUGGGCCAUGCUUCAACACUGCUACAAUGGCACCAACUACUUCACCGGAGAGACGGGCGUUCGGCUUGACUACAUUGCCCUGCACAAAAAGGGAGGAGGUUACUCUUUGCCAAUCCUGCAGCAGGAGAUGCAGACCGUGGGAGAGAUCCAGGAGUAUUUCCCCCGAUUCCGGAAUCGUCCUGUGUACAACGAUGAGGCUGACCCGCUGGUGGGCUGGUCCCAGCCUCAGGAGUGGCGAGCAGAUGUGACCUAUGCUGCCAUGGCUGUCAAGGUCAUCAGCCAGCAUCAAGAAAUGCUGUUGGCAAACACCAGCAUCAACUACACCCUGCUGAGCAACGACAACGCCUUCCUCAGCUACCACCCUCACCCCUUCACCCAGCGCACUCUGACCGCUCGCUUCCAGGUCAACAACACCCAACCGCCUCACGUGCAUCUCAUCAGGAAGCCCAUCCUCACUGUCAUGGGCCUUCUAGCUCUGUUAGGUGAGACCCAGAUCCUGACACGAGUUUUGAACUCUUCAAGAACUGAUGAUACCCACAGCGGAAGCGUGGGAGUGCUUGCAAGUAGCCACCAGCAAGAAAUCCCCAGCGUUUCAGACAGCUGGCAAGCCGCUCUGCUGGUCUACAGCAGUGACGACAACCGCACGUCGGCCAGGAUUAAUGUUGUUACCGUGUCACUAAAAGGACUGCAGCCAUACACAGGUCUUUUAUAUGUCACCUAUCUCCUGGACAAUAAUGUGAGUAACCCAUAUCAACUAUGGCAAAACAUGGGAAGCCCCAUCUACCCCACGACAGACCAGUUCACGAAGCUCAGGAACGUCCAGAUUCAUGGUCCAUCCUUCAUCUAUGCAGUUCAAACUAAGCAUAAACCAAAGUAAAUUGUGCAUGUUAAAAAAACAAAUAACUUCCCCCAGAUGCUUAAUUGUAGUGGAACAUACACCACGCCUACUUGGCAUCAAUAGCGGUGUUAUUACCCAUUUUGCAACUGAUAUUUUAACACAAAUGGUGGGACAGUAUGUGGACAGACAGUAUCACAAUACUAAAAGGAACAUAAUUUUUCUCCUCUCCAAAAAAGUGAUCGCAGGAGCUUACAAAGUCGCAGUACUUGUGAAACUAUUCCCCCGCAUUUGUGGUUGUGGGAUGCCAGAAGGAGCACCACAAUGAAUUGAAUUGAAGUAUUAAAUAGUAAUGCACACUUAUAUUUAUUUAUGGUAUUAUAACUCAGUUUUUACUAAAUACAAUAUUGUGCUAUAUUCCUUUUUAAUGCCCAAAAUAUAAUGACAUUUCCAUUCAUGUUAUUGAGAAGAGAAGAUUUGAAAUACACAUUUUUUUGUUACAAAGGUGGCCACAGAAUUAAUUAAACUUGUAUCUCAAAGCACCACUGUGUUUUUCCUCUUCCUUAUGUGAGAUGACUGGGAUGCAUUGCCAUUUAUUCUCCUCCCCCUUGUAGUGCCAAACUCCUGAACUAGACUCCUUGUUAGGCAUCACAUAAUGUGCUUCCUUGUUAGGACCCUCUUGUUGAUGGACCGUGGCCGGUGCCUGCAGGUGAAACUCUGACUUUGAAGGCAAGACUCCGUGUUCCCUCUGUGCUGUUGAUACAUGUAUGUGCCCAACCCAAGGCUGCUCCAAACCAGGUCAAUGGUUUACGCUUCCUC